GGUGGGGACAGGAGUCCUGCCUGUGAAGUCCCAGUUAAUCACCAAGCCAUACAACCUCCCCUAAAGAGUCAAGAGCGGAUGCAGGCUGUUGAUGUUUUUCAUUCAAAGCUCGCAAUGCACCGUUCUGAAAACUCUCCAGCGUAGAAUUCAGGAACCCUGAGUUUUCUAUCUCUGUCUAGUUCUGGACUGAAUGGGCUCAAGUCAUCUAGUUAACCUCUCUGGAUUUCAGUCUUCUGAAAAGUGAAGCUAAGAGAUCUAGCAUUCUGCAGAAAAGUACUGGAGAUGACUCAGGACUGAAAAUGAUCAUGAAGCCCCUUUGCAAAUAUCAAAGUGGUGAUGAAGCAGUCAUGAACUUUGACCAGAAGCCGUGUUUUGUGGGAUUGCCACUUUAAUCGCUCCUGUUCAUCAUUAGGACUGCAGCCAGAGUGUGGAAGGAGUGACAGCACAGAGGAAGAGAUGGUCCAAGACCAAAGAGGAAAGAAAUGGCAUAAGAUGGGACAGUGUUCUAUGAUCUCUAACUGGCCAAAGAAAAAUGAGAAACAAAUUUAAAAGAAGACAGAUUCUCCAACUGCACGUUGCCC
rnacentral:lncRNA from 10 species